rnacentral:rRNA from 1 species
GACGAACGCUGGCGGCGUGCUUAACACAUGCAAGUCGAACGGAAAGGCCCUGCUUUUGUGGGGUGCUCGAGUGGCGAACGGGUGAGUAACACGUGAGUAACCUGCCCUUGACUUUGGGAUAACUUCAGGAAACUGGGGCUAAUACCGGAUAGGAGCUCCUGCUGCAUGUUGGGGGUUGGAAAGUUUCGGCGGUUGGGGAUGGACUCGCGGCUUAUCAGCUUGUUGGUGAGGUAGUGGCUUACCAAGGCUUUGACGGAUAGCCGGCCUGAGAGGGUGACCGGCCACAUUGGGACUGAGAUACGGCCCAGACUCCUACGGGAGGCAGCAGUGGGGAAUAUUGCACAAUGGGCGGAAGCCUGAUGCAGCAACGCCGCGUGCGGGAUGACGGCCUUCGGGUUGUAAACCGCUUUCGCCUGUGACGAAGCGUGAGUGACGGUAAUGGGUAAAGAAGCACCGGCUAACUACGUG